rnacentral:lncRNA from 10 species
CGCAGCCAGAGCCGCCGCCAGAGUAGCCGCAGACAGAGCCGCCGCCCCCGCCGCUGGAGAAGCAGCCGGAGCCGCCCCCGGAGGAGCCGCCGCUAGAGACGCCUCCGUAGCUCUGGCACUGGACCGCCUGGCCCGAGAAGCCGCCGCCGCCGGAGGAGAAGCAGCCGGAGCCGCCCCCGGAGGAGCCGCCCCCACCGCUGGAGAAGCAGCCGGAGCCGCCCCCGGAGGAGCCGCCGCCACCGGAGGAGAAGCAGCCGGAGCCGCCCCCACCGCUGGAGAAACAGCCAGAGCCCCCGCCGGAGGAGCCGCCGCCUCCGGAGUACUUGACGCUCCCACCGGAGCCCCCUCCGCAGCCUCCAAUGCCGCCCCCGCCCCCGCCGCCGGAGGAGCCCCCGCCGCAGCCGCCGCCAGAGUAGCCACCGCCGCCGGAGUAGCCGCAGCCAGAACCGCUGCUACCGCCCCCUGAGCCGCCGCCGCCGAAGAAGCCGCAGCCACCACCGCCGCUGCCGCCGCCACCGCCACCGCCGCCAGAGGUCUUCACGCAGUCCACUGGGGGCUGAGGGGUGGGCUGCUUUUUCUGAUAAGACAUCUUGUCUGAGAAGGAAGGAGAGCCUGGAAGGGGAGAAGAGAGCAUCGCUGGACCAGCUGCAAGAGGAUACUUACGGAGGCAGCUGCAUCCAUAGGCAACAUCGCCAUCCUCCCAGGGCUCCUUCAGGUGCCCGGAGAGCCCUCAGCGGGGUUUCUUAUGAUUGCUGCUUUUGGAAAAGUUGAGUUCCUCAUUCCCCUGCAGAAAGCCUUCAUUAUGCUUUAAACAGCCCAGUUAGCAGUGCCCAUUCUUUCUCCCAGCUCUGCCUCUGACCACUGUUGUGUGAUUUGAGGGCAGAUCACCCACACGCCCGCCUCUUUCUCAUUUCCUGUUAAAUGAAAGGGUUUGAACACUUCAUCUUUCAGGCCUCUUCCAAUCUCAACACUGAUUCUCUGAGUGCAAAUAGAAAACUACCACAAACCUCUACCUAGGAUAGGAGAUUUUACCCAUUCCCAGCACAACAGAGAGAGGUUUGUCGGACUUCAUUCUAUUGAGGGCUGUUGCACUCCAUCCUCUGCAGAAGCUCUUAGUUCAAACUCUUGGUCUGUCCCACUGAGCUAGGCCAUGAACCAAGGGCUAGUCACUAGAAAAGACAGGCUCUGCUGUGGCCCUGCCUGGAAACAGGGGAAGGACCCUGGUGGUCCUUUGGACCAACAUCCCCGACCAGAAGCUAUUAGCCAUCUCUUCCAUGAUUUUCUCAAGUCCAAGUUUGGUAGAAGGGACUUUGACUAGUAGGAAGUUGUAUUUCCCUCUCAGAACUUCUAACUCUGUAAAACAGCAAUUGGAUUUCUGUGGCACCUGAAAUCCCUCCCAUCUGCAACUUUUUUGGAUCAUUCUC